rfam:Gossypium hirsutum cultivar TM-1 unplaced genomic scaffold scaffold1572.1, whole genome shotgun sequence
GGCUUACGAUGGAUAACUAGACACCUAAAGACAAGGAAAGGCAUAGUAAGCAACGAAAUGCUUCGAGGAGUUGAAAAUAAACGUAGAUCUGGAGAUUCCUGAAUAGGUUAACCUUUUGAAUUGUUGCUUAAUCCAUGGGCAGACAAGAGACAACCUGGCAAACUGAAACAUCUUAGUAGUUGGAGGAAAAGAAAGCAAAAGCGAUUCCCAUAGUAACAACGAGUAAAAUAGGAGCAGCCUAAAUUGUGAAAAUGGGGUUGUGAAGGAACAAUAAAAUUGUCGUGCUACUAGGCGAAGCGGUGAAGUGCCGAACCCUAAAUGGUGAUAGUCUAGUAGCCAAAAGCAUUACUAGCUUACGCUUUGACCUGAGUAGCAUGGAACACGUGGAAUCCUGUGUGAAUCAGCAAGGACCACCUUACAAGGCUAAAUACUCCUGGGUGACCGCUGGCGAAGUAGUAUCGUGAGGGAAGGGUGAAAAAAACCCCAUCGAGGAGUGAAACAGAACAUGAAAUUGUAAACU